GACGAACGCUGGCGGCGUGCUUAACACAUGCAAGUCGAACGAAGUGGCGAACGGGUGAGUAACUCGUAAUCAACCUGCCCUUCAGCGGGUGACAACAGUUGGAAACGACUGCUAAUACCGCAUACUGAAGGAGGGGAUUGCGUCUGAUUUGGUAGUUGGAGGGGUAACGGCCCACCAAGGCGAAGAUCAGUAACCGGUCCGAGAGGAUGAACGGCCACAAUGGGAAUUGGGAACGGCCCAAACUCCUAAGGGAGGCAGCAGUGGGGAAUCUUCCGGAAUGGAAGAAAGUCUGACGGAGCAAAGCCGGGGGGGUGAUGGAGGCUUUCGGGUUGUAAAGCUCUGUUAGUCGGGAAGCGGUACCGGAAUAGAAAGCCACGGCUAACUACGUGCCAGCAGCCGCGGUAAUUC
rnacentral:rRNA from 1 species